CUGACUCUUAAUCAGCGGGUCGCAGGUUCGAGCCCUGCUCGGCUCACCA
rnacentral:tRNA from 1 species